rnacentral:lncRNA from 1 species
GAGCCCCAUGUCUGUGCGAUUCAAGGAGUCGAAGCUGUCGAACCAACAAGCCAAAGCACUCCUGUGUCAGAUGCAACCAUUGAGCAGGUUACCGCAGAUGAUGAGAUAGUAUUCCAAAGAAGAACCCGCAAAAAAGUCUUGAAAGAUAUUAAAAGCAAGAGGGUCUCAUUUCAUGAAGAUGUCAAUACCCUUGAUGCAGCAGAGAACAAAGAUAUCAAAAUCAAUGUCGGUCUCACAGACAGAGUCAGUGCUGACAUCCUAACGCCAACGGAAACAGGGACAAGAUCUUAACAGUUCAUUAGUGUUGAGCUCUAAUUUUACAGAGCCGGUAUUUUCAAUCGAGAAAAUGUUCUCUAAACUAAAAAAUAGUGUUUUAACUUUAGCCGAACGAGGGGUUCCCGAAGGACAGGAAGAUCGCUCAAUUGCUCCUCAUAUAUCGAAUUCGACUCUUCCCUAUCAUUCGGUUCCAAGCACCUCACGCAAACUAAAGCCCCAGAGUCUGAUCGAACAACGAGGUUGAAAAGUCCCGCCGUGAGGAACGUCCUUUCUGAAGCUCCAUCAAAAGCUCCUCUAGUCAAUCGGUUUCUACUAUCACUACAAAUGAAGGAAUCGAGAAAAAAGCAUGCUUCCCUAAACCAGCGACAUCAAAUCAGAGGAAUCAAAUCUCAUCGACCCCUAAUUGUCAAAGUUAAACCGUACGACAUAAACCUCAAAAGUUUUGAGCAUGUUCUGAACGAAUUGAAUGAUGAAAUCUCAGUGAAUCUUUGCAACAGGUUAGAAAAAAACUGGCAAAAAGAUGUAGAGGAAAGACUAGAAACUCACCUUUUCAAAGGCCAGCAAGUGAAAAUUCAUAAGGUGUUCAGAGUUUUAAGUACAAUUGGUGAGCCUCUGCUCACAAUAUUAACGGAUACUUCAUUAUUAGUGAUAGCUUACGAUCAAAAUGAGCUGGUCAUUCGUUUUUCAAUUACUUACAGUAAUAUCAAAAUAAUCAUGGUAGGGCCUGGAAACUUAACACUAAUGUUCAUUGAGCAAUAUCCCUUUGGUCAUUCUCACUUCACCAUCGUCACGGACAAUGAAAAUCUUCAUGGAGGCAAUGAUCUGAUAAGCCAUCUUGAAGUUAUAGUCCGCCAGAAGAAAUGUCCUACCAUCCCUGUCUUUUCCUCGUCAAUCCACGAGGAUAAGAAAUUUUUGAAAAAAAACCUCUAUCGAAGCAAAUGA